GUGAACCGGUAAAUAGUUGGAUUGCUCGCCAGAAACCCAACCAGGCAGGCAGACUGUUGUUACCAUGCAACGAGCAGACGCUUGUGAAAAGUACUAGCUACAAAAUUGGCUAAAUGCCUGUUGCUGUAUACAUAGCGCGCGUGUGUGUAUGUUGGUAACCUAGCUAGUUAGUUAGCCAUUAAUAAAGUUCCUAACGUUACAUCAUGGCAGACGGCUGGAGCACCGACAUCGGAGAGGUUGCCUAUCGUUCCCGGGAUGUUGUCAAAAACCUGACAAUUAAGAUCCGUAUUCAGAGAGUCACCUUCACAGCAGCCCUCUCUCAACACCUUCAGCAGCAGGUUUUGACUCAACAGGAGAGGGGAGGCAUUGAGCUGGACACCCUCAACUGACAGGCUCAAUCAGCCGGAGAUGGUGAGGAGGAGUUAGUGGUAGGCAGGCAGGAGAAGCUGUUCAGUCAGGUAGGUCCUCUACCAGUGUCCUUAUAACAAAUAAGACUUCACUGUUUAGGAUAGUUUGAUGUUGCAUAGUAAGUUGUGUGUGUGUGCGCACGCAAUAUGAAGUGGUUUUGUUCCAGAGUGAGUCAGUAUGCCAGACUCCACUGGAGAGACAAUACCACAGAGAUGAUGGCUCUGGAGCGGGCAGAUUGAACUGCAGGAUUUUCACCUACACUGAUUCUGACUGCUAUAUCAAUUGGGAAGGGGUGGGUUUUUACUGAAUCUCCAUUUCUGUAAUGGUUCUGUAACCACAGAUGCUGGGAGAGGGGCAGCAAGUACUGGGUGAGGAUUUACUAAUAAAUAGACAUGAAACUAAAGAAGAACAGGGUCUGGACAAGAGAAACAAAACAUUAUCAAUGCAGACACAGGAAUGAAACUGAGGAAGUGACAGAUAUAGGGGAGGCAAUCAAUGACGUGAUGGAGUCCAGGUGAGUCCGAUGAAGCGCUGGUUCGUGUAACGAUGGUGACAGAUGUGUGUAAUGAUGAGCAGCCUGGAGACCUCG